rnacentral:tRNA from 1 species
GCCUGGCUGGCUAAGUUGGUAGAGCAUGAGACUCUUCAUCUCUGGGUCAUGAGUUCAAGCCCCAUGUUGGGUG